UUGAUCCUGGCUCAGAAUCAACGCUGGCGGCGUGCCUAACACAUGCAAGUCGAACGAGAAAGGGGAGCAAUCCUUGUAAAGUGGCGACCGGGUGAGUAACACAUGACUAACCUGCCUUCUAGUGGGGGAUAACCCCGGGAAACCGGGGCUAAUACCGCAUAACAUCGCAAGAUCAAAGCAUCAAUGCGCUGGAAGAGGGGGUCGCGGCUGAUUAUCUAGUUGGCGGGGUAACGGCCCACCAAGGCGAAGAUCGGUAUCCGGCCUGAGAGGGCGCACGGACACACUGGAACUGAAACACGGUCCAGACUCCUACGGGAGGCAGCAAUGGGGAAUUUUGCGCAAUGGGGGAAACCCUGACGCAGCAACGCCGCGUGAAGGAUGAAGCCCUUUGGGGCGUAAACUCCUUUCGACCAAAACUAUAAUGACGGUACUGGUGGAAGAAGCACCGGCUAACUCUGUGCCAGCAGCCGCGGUAAUACAGAGGGUGCAAGCGUUGUUCGGAAUUAUUGGGCGUAAAGGGUGCGUAGGCGGUGCGGUAAGUCACCUGUGAAAUCUCCCGGCUCAACUGGGAGCCUGCAGGCGAAACUACCGUGCUGGAAUAUGGGAGACGUGCGUGGAAUUCCCGGUGUAGCGGUGAAAUGCGUAUAUAUCGUGAGGAACACCUGUGGCGAAAGCGGCGCACUGAACCAUAACUGACGCUGAUGCACGAAAGCUAGGGGAGCAAACAAGAUUAGAUACCCUGGUACUCCUAGCCCUAAACGAUGAUUGCUUGGUGUAGCAGGUACCCAAUCCUGCCGUACGGAAGCUAACGCGAUAAGCAAUCCGCCUGGGGAGUACGGUCGCAAGGCUGAAACUCAAAGGAAUUGACGGGGGCCGGAACAAGCGGAGGAGCAUGUGGUUCAAUUCGACGCAACGCAAAGAACCUUACCUGGGCUCGAAGCGCAGUGGACCGGGGUGGAAACAUCCCUUUUCGCAAGAACUGCUGCGGAGGUGCUGCAUGGCUGUAGUCAGCUCGAGUCGUGAGAUGAUGGGUUAAGUCCCGCAACGAGCGCAACCCUUAUCCCUAGUUGCCAUCGGGUCAAGCCGGACACUCUAGUGAAACUGCCUCAGAUAAUGAGGAGGAAGGUGGGGAUGACGUCAAGUCCUCAUGACCUUUAUGUCCAGGGCUACACACGUGCUACAAUGGUCGGUACAAACAGUAGCAAACCCGUGAGGGAGAACUAAUCGGAAAAAGCCGGCCUCAGUUCGGAUUGGAGUCUGCAACUCGACUCCAUGAAGCUGGAAUAGCUAGUAAUCGAGGAUCAGAACGUCGCGGUGAAUACGUUCCCGGUCCUAGUACACACCGCC
rnacentral:rRNA from 1 species